GACGAACGCUGGCGGCGUGCUUAACACAUGCAAGUCGAACGGAAAGGCCCUGCUUUUGUGGGGUGCUCGAGUGGCGAACGGGUGAGUAACACGUGAGUAACCUGCCCUUGACUUUGGGAUAACUUCAGGAAACUGGGGCUAAUACCGGAUAGGAGCUCCUGCUGCAUGGUGGGGGUUGGAAAGUUUCGGCGGUUGGGGAUGGACUCGCGGCUUAUCAGCUUGUUGGUGGGGUAGUGGCUUACCAAGGCUUUGACGGGUAGCCCGCCUGAGAGGGUGACCGGCCACAUUGGGACUGUGAUACGGCCGAGAGUCCUACGGGAGGCAGCAGUGGGGAAUAUUGCACCAUGGGCGGAAGCCUGAUGCAGCAACGCCGCGUGCGGGAUGACGGCCUUCGGGUUGUAAACCGCUUUCGCCUGUGACGAAGCGUGAGUGACGGUAAUGGGUAAAGAAGCACCGGCUAACUACGUG
rnacentral:rRNA from 1 species